UUAGGAAUCUUGCGCAAUGGGCGAAAGCCUGACGCAGCAACGCCGCGUGGGGGAUGAAGGCCCUCGGGUUGUAAACCCCUUUCAGCAGGGACGAAAACAGACGGUACCUGCAGAAGAAGCCCCGGCCAACUACGUGCCAGCAGCCGCGGUAAGACGUAGGGGGCAAGCGUUGUCCGGAUUUAUUGGGCGUAAAGAGCUCGUAGGCGGCUUGGCAAGUCGGAUGUGAAAACUCCAGGCUCAACCUGGAGACGCCAUUCGAUACUGCUAUGGCUUGAGUCCGGUAGGGGCGCAUGGAAUACCCGGUGUAGCGGUGAAAUGCUUAGAUAUCGGGUGGAACACCAGUGGCGAAGGCGGUGCGCUGGGCCGGAACUGACGCUGAGGAGCGAAAGCGUGGGUAGCAAACAGG
rnacentral:rRNA from 1 species